rnacentral:rRNA from 1 species
AUGAGGUCGCAGCUGAUCAGCCAUGCCGCGUGCAGGAUGAAGGUCUUCUGGUUGGAAAACUGUUUUUGUACGAAAGAAAACACUCCUUCUAGUACGAUGUUGACGGGAUCGUACCAAUAAGGAACGGCUAGGUCCACGCCGUGCCCCCCGCCACUGUAAUAA